rnacentral:rRNA from 1 species
GCACGACUCUCGACAAUGGAUAUCUCGGCUCUUGCAUCGAUGAAGAGCGCAGCGAAAUGCGAUACGUGGUGCGAAUUGCAGAAUCCCGUGAACCAUCGAGUCUUUGAACGCAAGUUGCGCCUGAGGCCAUUCGGUCAAGGGCACGUUCGCCUGGGCGUCAAGCUUU